AGAGUUUGAUCCUGGCUCAGGACGAACGCUGGCGGCGUGCCUAAUACAUGCAAGUCGAACGAAGCUUUCUUUCACCGAAUGCUUGCAUUCACCGAAAGAAGCUUAGUGGCGAACGGGUGAGUAACACGUAGGCAACCUGCCCAAAAGAGGGGGAUAACACUUGGAAACAGGUGCUAAUACCGCAUAACCAUGAACACCGCAUGAUGUUCGUGUAAAAGACGGCUUUUGCUGUCACUUUUGGAUGGGCCUGCGGCGUAUUAACUUGUUGGUGGGGUAACGGCCUACCAAGGUGAUGAUACGUAGCCGAACUGAGAGGUUGAUCGGCCACAUUGGGACUGAGACACGGCCCAAACUCCUACGGGAGGCAGCAGUAGGGAAUCUUCCACAAUGGACGAAAGUCUGAUGGAGCAGCGCCGCGUGAAUGAAGAAGGCCUCCGGGUCGUAAAAUUCUGUUGUCAGAGAAGAAUGUGCGUGAGAGUAACUGUUCACGUAUUGACGGUAUCUGACCAGAAAGCCACGGCUAACUACGUGCCAGCAGCCGCGGUAAUACGUAGGUGGCAAGCGUUGUCCGGAUUUAUUGGGCGUAAAGGGAACGCAGGCGGUCUUUUAAGUCUGAUGUGAAAGCCUUCGGCUUAACCGAAGUAGUGCAUUGGAAACUGGAAGACUUGAGUGCAGAAGAGGAGAGUGGAACUCCAUGUGUAGCGGUGAAAUGCGUAGAUAUAUGGAAGAACACCAGUGGCGAAAGCGGCUCUCUGGUCUGUAACUGACGCUGAGGUUCGAAAGCGUGGGUAGCAAACAGGAUUAGAUACCCUGGUAGUCCACGCCGUAAACGAUGAGUGCUAAGUGUUGGAGGGUUUCCGCCCUUCAGUGCUGCAGCUAACGCAUUAAGCACUCCGCCUGGGGAGUACGGUCGCAAGACUGAAACUCAAAGGAAUUGACGGGGGCCCGCACAAGCGGUGGAGCAUGUGGUUUAAUUCGAAGCAACGCGAAGAACCUUACCAGGUCUUGACAUCUUCUGACAAUUCCAGAGAUGGAACGUUCCCUUCGGGGACAGAAUGACAGGUGGUGCAUGGUUGUCGUCAGCUCGUGUCGUGAGAUGUUGGGUUAAGUCCCGCAACGAGCGCAACCCUUAUUGUCAGUUGCCAUCAUUAAGUUGGGCACUCUGGCGAGACUGCCGGUGACAAACCGGAGGAAGGUGGGGAUGACGUCAAAUCAUCAUGCCCCUUAUGACCUGGGCUACACACGUGCUACAAUGGACGGUACAACGAGUCGCUAACUCGCGAGGGCAAGCUAAUCUCUUAAAGCCGUUCUCAGUUCGGAUUGCAGGCUGCAACUCGCCUGCAUGAAGUCGGAAUCGCUAGUAAUCGCGAAUCAGCAUGUCGCGGUGAAUACGUUCCCGGGCCUUGUACACACCGCCCGUCACACCAUGAGAGUUUGUAACACCCAAAGUCGGUUGGGUAACCUUUUGGAGCCAGCCGCCUAAGGUGGGACUGAUGAUUGGGGUGAAGUCGAAACAAGGUA
rnacentral:rRNA from 1 species